GAUGAAGAACGCAGCGAAAUGCGAUACGUAAUGUGAAUUGCAAAUUCAGUGAAUCAUCGAGUCUUUGAACGCACAUUGCGCCCCCUGGUAUUCCGGGGGGCAUGCCUGUCCGAGCGUCAUUGCUGCCCUCAAGCACGGCUUGUGUGUUGGGCCCCGUCCUCCGAACCCGGGGGACGGGCCCGAAAGGCAGCGGCGGCACCGCGUCCGGUCCUCGAGCGUAUGGGGCUUUGUCACCCGCUCUGUAGGCCCGGCCGGCGCUUGCCGAUCAACCCAAAUUUUUAUCCAGGUUGACCUCGGAUCAGGUAGGGAUACCCGCUGAACUUAAGCAUAUCAAUAAGCGGAGGA
rnacentral:misc_RNA from 1 species